GCGUCUUUGGCUUUUUCAGAUUCCAAAGCAACCUCUCUAAUAAUUGCUAAAAGAGUAUAAUCACAAGUAAUAUAAAAUAAAAUUAAAAUAAAAUACCUGUAUCUCUCCCAUUUUCUAGGGUUAGCAUUCACCAUCUACGGUUUCGGCACAUGGGUUAGCAACUUAACAUCCAAUAGGCUGAAUACAUUUCCAUUUUCUUGGGUUACCCA
rnacentral:misc_RNA from 1 species